AGAUUAAUAGGAAACGAAAAUUUUUUGCCAUUUCAGAAAAAAGAUAUCUUACCAUACAAACAGUUUUCUUUCUUUUGGAUAUAACUAAUGUCAGAAACAAACUAACUUACAACAGAUUUUGUCAUUGCAGCUGCAAAAUUAGGAACUGUAUACAAUACUAUAGUAGCUAGGAAUAACAUUUCGUUUGCAUUAAUUCUAUGCAUAGGAAAAAGGCGGUUAUUUUGGAAGAUGAAAACUUGUGGAGUUACACAAAAAUAUGGAUAAAAAACAAUAUCAAGGCAUCUAGACUACUGAUAAACGUUAUCUCGCAGAAAACUGAAAAGAGCAGCAAAGAAAGGACAGAACAUAAAAAUCAGCAACUCUGAUGAGAUGGUAAAAAGCAGAUGAACGGGAGAUAAUAAAAUGCAGAUGGACGGCUUCUUUGAUCGUGAAGAGUUUGCUAUUAGUAAUGGGACGAGGUCAUUCCAAAGAAAUGACAUAUAUGAGUCUUUGAAGCAGUAUGCCAUUCAUUGCCUCAGUAUAGAGAUUCAACAUUUAAUGAUUAUAUGAAUAAAAAAAGGUGUAGCUCCAGACAGACACUGAAAAGGAAGGCAAAGAUGUUUUCAGACUGACAUAAAGCCCUAGUUUCUAAAACUAGAAAUAUAUUCCUAACAGCAAGCACGAAUAUUUCCAGAAUUAUUCCCCUUUACUUGUUUACCUGACAUUACCUGUUUUAUUUGCAGGGAUAUUUAUGAAAUGAGCUAUGCACGUACAUUAUGAGUUUUCAAUGUUAUGAUGUGGUGGCAUAGAUUUUUUUCACAAAUUUUAAUCUUGUUGUAUGUUCUUUAUUAAUCUAGUCAGCUUUUGUUUGUAAAAAAUAAAAGAAAAAUAAAUAACAUUUAUCAAGAUAUGUUAUUAUUAUUAUUUUCAUAUUUUUCUCCUGAAUUGACACCAUCAUUGGAACCUGCAUUUAUUCAAAAUCCAUUAGAUGAAUAUAAGCAGGCAAGCCUGAUUUGUUAAUGAUUCAUUAAUACAUUGAAUUUUGGUUUAUGGAAGAAGGAAAAAUACAAUUUAUUAGUGAUUCAUUAACAAUUUAUUUGCAAUUCAUUAAUGAAUCAGUUGGUCAGCGAACCUAAUUUAUUACCAAUUGAUUGACCUGAUUUGUUGAUAAUUCAUUGACUUAGUCAAGAAAAGGACCAAAUUCAUUACCCAUUUGUUAACCUGAUUUAUUAACAAUUUAUAAUAAGUCGGUAAAUGGACCCAAUUCAUUACCAAUUCAUUUCACUGAUUUAUUAACAAUUUAUUCAUAAUGCAUUGGCUCAUUUGCAUGUCAUUUCCAUCUAUAAUAAAUUGGGAAUAAAUGGUAAAUUUGUUUAUCAUUUAUUAUACUGAUUCAUUCCUAUCUUUUUUUUG